CAAUUUGUAAAAACCCACCGUUUCUUUUAAUUUAGUAACCAAUUGACGUGGGCUUCGUUAUGAAGUUUGGACCUUAUGUUUGGAUGAAAUAUACAGUCGGCUAGCCCGAUAGGAGUUAACCAUAAUUCUCUCUUUACGCAUCGCAGAAAAGGCUAUUCCUCAUCUCCUCUCUUUGUUCGAUCCCAUCCUCUGAACUUCUUCAUCAACAACCGAACCGCUUCCAGUGAAUCGCUUUAAAUCCCUUCUUAAAUUCAUCAACCACGAUGUAGCCUUGAAUGCGAGCUUUCUUCUUUGAGUCAGUAUAAAAAGGUUAGUCUUCCUCCUCUCAAAACCAUCUUCUCAAUUCCUUAUAACAAUGGAAACUUCUUUAGUAUAAGGGAUAACUCGUAUGUAUUACUUGCCGAUCGUUCUUUUUCCACUGUGGAAGUGUGUCUGUUCAGAUUUUGGGAAGAAGAAACCUGAAACUCUGUAGCAAGAUGUUGGGUGUAUACAUGCUCCUCCUCGAAGCUAAGGUUAUUUCGUUCUUCAAGCCAUAAUCAUCGUAGUUUUGUAACAUAUGAUGGCUUAUAAACUUCAGAUUAUCAAACUUAUACUGACACAUAUUGAAUAAUAAACUCUCCACUUCAUUUUGAUUUGUGUUUAUCAAAAAUUUGAUUUUUGUAUUUCUCUUUCCUCUCUGCAAGAUCUUUUAUGAAUAGUACUACGGAUUGUUAUCGAUCGUGACUGUCUUGUUUAACACAAACCACAUGGAGAAAAUGGGUUUUUCUCUUUUAAGAUUGAUAAGUAGAAGCUUGAUCAAGAGAAAUCAUAGUUUUUUUUUCUGUUAUGAAAAUUGGUUUAUUAAAUCAUCUUUGUUUUAACAGGACAAUGGAAGUUUGAUCAUGAUUACUAAAACUUCUUUAAAGUCUACUCCAUCAAUGAUUGGCUCUUUUACUUAAAGAGUUUGACUCGGUCUCUCAUAUUUUGUCUCUGCUUUCCAAUAAACUUUCCAAUAAACAAAACACUGCUCUUCAG
rnacentral:lncRNA from 1 species